GUACUUACUUAUGCAGUACAUAUAAUAAAAUUGGAAUGAUACAGAGAAGAUUAACAUGGUCCCUGAGCAAGGAGGACACAAAUCACUCUUAAUUUAGUUAACAUAAUC